rnacentral:rRNA from 1 species
UACAGGGGGGGCAAGCGUUGUUCGGAAUUACUGGGCGUAAAGGGCUCGUAGGUGGCCAACUAAGUCAGACGUGAAAUCCCUCAGCUUAACUGGGGAACUGCGUCUGAUACUGGAUGGCUUGAGUUUGGGAGAGGGAUGCGGAAUUCCAGGUGUAGCGGUGAAAUGCGUAGAUAUCAGGAGGAACACCUGUGGCGAAAGCGGCUCACUGGACCAUAACUGACGCUGAUGCUCGAAAGCUAGGGGAGCAAACAGG